GAUCAUGGCUCAGGACGAACGCUGGCGGCGCGCCUAACACAUGCAAGUCGAACGGAGUUAUUUUGGCAGAAGCCUUCGGGCAGACGCUGAUAUAACUUAGUGGCGAACGGGUGAGUAACACGUGAGUAACCUGCCCUUCAGAGGGGGACAACAGUUGGAAACGACUGCUAAUACCGCAUAAGACCACGGUGUGGCAUCACACAGAGGUCAAAGGAGAAAUCCGCUGAAGGAUGGG
rnacentral:rRNA from 1 species